rnacentral:ncRNA from 1 species
CAGCGCGCGACUGGUUGUGCGCGUCCAAGCAGUUAGGCGCCUCAAGUAGGCAAAUCCGCUUGAGUAGGCUGAGCUGUGAUGGCGAGGGAAAUAUAGUACCGAAGUGCCUGAUUCCACACUGCCAAGAAAAGCCUCUAGCGAGGUGAGAGGUGCCCGUACCGCAAACCGACACAGGUAGGCGAGGAGAGAAUCCUAAGGUGCGCGGGAGAACUCUCGUUAAGGAACUCGGCAAAAUGACCCCGUAACUUCGGGAGAAGGGGUGCUCCCUCGGGUGAAUAGCCCAGGGGAGCCGCAGUGAAAAGGCCCAAGCGACUGUUUAUCAAAACACAGGUCUCUGCGAAGCCGCAAGGCGAAGUAUAGGGGCUGACACCUGCCCGGUGCUGGAAGGUUAAGGGGAGCGCUUAGCGCAAGCGAAGGUGCGAACCGAAGCCCCAGUAAACGGCGGCCGUAACUAUAACGGUCCUAAGGUAGCGAAAUUCCUUGUCGGGUAAGUUCCGACCCGCACGAAAGGUGUAACGACUUGGGCACUGUCUCAACGAGAGACCCGGUGAAAUCAUAGUACCUGUGAAGAUGCAGGUUACCCGCGACAGGACGGAAAGACCCCGUGGAGCUUUACUGCAGCCUGAUAUUGAAUGUUGGUGCGACAUGUACAGCAUAGGUGGGAGACUGAGAAGCCUGGACGCCAGUCUAGGUGGAGUCGCCGUUGGGAUACCACCCUUGUCGUACUGAGAUUCUAACCCGCACCCCUGAUCGGGGUGGGAGACAGUGUCAGGUGGGCAGUUUGACUGGGGCGGUCGCCUCCCAAAGCGUAACGGAGGCGCCCAAAGGUUCCCUCAGAAUGGUUGGAAAUCAUUCGUAGAGUGUAAAGGCAGAAGGGAGCUUGACUGCGAGACCUACAAGUCGAGCAGGGACGAAGUCGGGCUUAGUGAUCCGGUGGUUCCGAAUGGAAGGGCCAUCGCUCAACGGAUAAAAGCUACCCCGGGGAUAACAGGCUUAUCUCCCCCAAGAGUCCACAUCGACGGGGAGGUUUGGCACCUCGAUGUCGGCUCAUCGCAUCCUGGGGCUGUAGUCGGUCCCAAGGGUUGGGCUGUUCGCCCAUUAAAGCGGUACGCGAGCUGGGUUCAGAACGUCGUGAGACAGUUCGGUCCCUAUCCGUCGCGGGCGUAGGAAAUUUGAGAGGAGCUGUCCUUAGUACGAGAGGACCGGGAUGGACGCACCGCUGGUGUACCAGUUGUUCCGCCAGGAGCACAGCUGGGUAGCUAUGUGCGGAAGGGAUAAGCGCUGAAAGCAUCUAAGCGUGAAGCCCCCCUCAAGAUGAGAUUUCCCAUCGUGUCAAGCGAGUAAGAUCCCUUGAAGAUGACAAGGUAGAUAGGUCCGAGGUGGAAGCGUGGCGACACGUGCAGCUGACGGAUACUAAUCGAUCGAGGACUUAACUAA